ensembl:lncRNA LINC02165 long intergenic non-protein coding RNA 2165
GGGGAUACAGCCAAAGGAGGAUCCUUUGCUUCAGAUGAUCCUGGAUCAUGGAGCCAUGAAGAUGUUGAUAGUUGGAUAUCAGGAACAGAUGAUGUCAAUCACUAAUGGAUCACAGUUGACCAGGGGAAACUAAAAUCAUGGGAAACAAAACCAUGGAUAAGGCAGUACUACUGUAUACAGUUGGCCCUCCAUAGCCAUGCACUCUGCAUCAGUGGAUUCAAUCAGCCAUGGAUAAAAAAAUGUUUGAAAAGUUUAAAAGAAUGGUUGUUUCUGUACUGAACAGGUUAGGUGUUCAAGCUGUGUUAAAUCACAUCCCUGAUGUUUAUGUGGUCAGGAUAUGUGCCCUUGAGUGACCAAGCAGAAGUGAGUGGAACUUUCUACCAUGCUUUGUAUGCUAAGACUUCCAUCAACGAGUGAUUUUCUUGCUUUAAAUUUAAUGCUGACUCCAUUCAAGCAGAAAAUAGAUUUGAAGACAAUGAAAAAUGUGCCACUUUAUUUCCCUAAGGCCUUCUCUGCACAGUAGGCCUUGAACAAAAGUAAUUUCAUAAGGAGAGACAAACAACUAAGUGAAUCUUCAAAUACAAAAAUUUAUUGUUUUUUUUUGCUAAAUUAUUUUACUAAGUAUUGAUUUUCUGAUUCUUAUUAUCCAUCUUCAGAUCACAAGGCUUAGUGUAGAAUUUGCUUACACUGUGAUAACAAAAUUCAUAAUCAAAUGGGAAGAGGAAAUAAUCCUACCGUGGUGCAUGCCAUUUUUCUAUCCAAGGGAACCUCGUAAGUUGCUGAUAAGAAUAAAUUGCAGUGAAUGAGAAAAUCAUGAAAAGUCAAAAAUUAAAGGAUCCUUAGUGAUAACCUGGCACAGUGAUUAUUUUUUCCCUUCCAAGGGGAGGAACAUUUUAUUUUUUGAAUUGGAACAUUUUUGUUGCUGUUUUUCUACAUGGUCACCAUGUUUUUAGAAUAUCUUCUAAUGUAGUAACAUUGUAUUUAUUGAGAAAUAACGGCUAAUACUGAAUUUGUUCAAUUUCAAAAAUGGGAAAAUGUGCAGAGUGUAUGAUCAUAAACAACAGUGGUAACAAUAGCAAGCAAAACAA